rnacentral:rRNA from 1 species
UUAGCCUACGGGAGGCAGCAGUGAGGAAUAUUGGUCAAUGGGCGGGAGCCUGAACCAGCCAAGUCGCGUGAAGGAAGAAGGUACUUAGUAUUGUAAACUUCUUUUGUCGGGGAACAAAGGCGGAGACGCGUCUCCGGAUGAGUGUACCCGAAGAAAAAGCAUCGGCUAACUCCGUGCCAGCAGCCGCGGUAAUACGGAGGAUGCGAGCGUUAUCCGGAUUUAUUGGGUUUAAAGGGUGCGUAGGCGGACAGUCAAGUCAGCGGUAAAAAUGCGGUGCUCAACGCCGUACAGCCGUUGAAACUGGC